rnacentral:rRNA from 1 species
CUACGGGACGCUCCAGUGAGGAAUAUUGGACAAUGGUCGAAAGACUGAUCCAGCCAUGCCGCGUGCAGGAUGACUGCCCUAUGGGUUGUAAACUGCUUUUAUACGGGAAGAAAAACACCUACGUGUAGGUGACUGACGGUACCGUAAGAAUAAGGACCGGCUAACUCCGUGCCAGCAGCCGCGGUAAUACGGAGGGUCCAAGCGUUAUCCGGAAUCAUUGGGUUUAAAGGGUCCGUAGGCGGGCUAUUAAGUCAGAGGUGAAAGUUUGCAGCUCAACUGUAAAAUUGCCUUUGAUACUGAUAGUCUUGAAUUGUAGUGAAGUGGUUAGAAUAUGUGGUGUAGCGGUGAAAUGCAUAGAUAUCACAUAGAAUACCGAUUGCGAAGGCAGAUCACUAACUAUAUAUUGACGCUGAGGGACGAAAGCGUGGGGAGCGAACGGGAUUAGAUACCCUAGUAGUC